rnacentral:rRNA from 1 species
GAUGAACGCUGACGGAAUGCUUAACACAUGCAAGUCAACUUGAAUUUUGGGUUUUAACUUAGGUUUGGUUGGCGGACGGGUGAGUAACGCGUAAAGAACUUGCCUCACAGCUAGGGACAACAUUUGGAAACGAAUGCUAAUACCUAAUAUUAUGAUAAUAGGGCAUCCUAUAAUUAUGAAAGCUAUAAGCGCUGUGAGAGAGCUUUGCGUCCCAUUAGCUAGUUGGAGAGGUAACGGCUCACCAAGGCGAUGAUGGGUAGCCGGCCUGAGAGGGUGAUCGGCCACGAGGGGACUGAGACACGGCACUUACCACUCCGGGAGGCAGGAGUGGGGAAUAUAAGACAAUGGAACGAGAGUAUGAUUCAGCAAUUAUGUGUGCACGAUGAAGUUUGUCGGAAUGUAAAGUGCUUUCAGUUGGGAAGAAACAAAAGGCGGUACCAACAGGAGAAGUGACGGCUAAAUACGUG